rfam:Canis lupus familiaris chromosome 38, whole genome shotgun sequence.
GUGCUCACUUCAACAACACAUAUAAAAAAUGAGAACAAGACGGAGAAGAUUAGCAUGGUCCUAUCCAAGGAUGGCAUACACAUCUGUAAGGAAGUUCCUCUUAGU